rnacentral:tRNA from 1 species
GGAAAUCAUUGAUGUUGAUUAAUAUGGGAUUAGGAAAUAUCUCUAGUGCUA